GUUGCUGAUGCUGCCCACUGGAUGUUCCUGUGUGUGUGCGCGCGUGUCUGUGUGUGUGUGUGUGUGUGUGUGUGUGCCUAGCGGGUGGGAUCCAGGGCGAUGCCUCCUGCUUGUCUUCCAGGCUUGGGUGAUCAGAGAACCGCCAGCUGUUCGUGGCCGGGGUUGACAGGUUGCUCCUAGGCCUUGGCUCUUGGGGAGUCCCCGACCCCAGACUCACCUUCCUUUCUCCCCGCAGAAAGAGCCGCUCCCUCUGUGGGGGCUGGAGCUGCCUGCCCAGUCAGUUAGCCUCCUUGGGUGUGGGCUACAGCGGGGAAUUAGAAGAUCCAAUCUUCUGAGUCUGCAGAGGUCUGAGGGCCUGGCCUGGCUAGGCGGGUGGUGCUGAAGGGACAGCUCCUGGAUCCCCUAGCUUAGACCCUUCCUGCAGCCUCUUCUGCUGCUGUUGCCGCCGCUGCUGCUGCUGUUGCUGCUGCGGCAGGCGCUGCUACAACCGCGGCUCCUGCACUUAGCCUGCGCGUCAUGGCGACCACCGCCUAUGCCCCUACCUCAGCGCUCAACCGACUCUCUUCCCCAAAGGAGUCCGCUCCAGUCUACCGUGAACCCCACAGGUGCCUCAACCCACUUCCCCUUUCUGUGGCCCCUCCCACCAAAACCUUUUUCUUCUGAAGCCUGGGUAGCACCAGGUGGCUAGGAGGUCUUUGGAGGGAGCCAGCUAGCCUUUCUCCUCCCCAGAAGGCUGGGCUGAAGGUGUAGGGAAAUGGAGAACAAGAUAGAGGUCUGCCCCUUGGGCCCAAGCAGAACAAGUUUGCUCCCAUUUCUACAUGAGACAGCCCUUCGGAUACUUAAACACUGGGAGACAGUUGUCAAGUCCCCUGACAUCCUUUCCAGGAGAACAUCAGGACGAGAGGAAAUGAAAGAGUAAAAUAGUAGUUUGGUUUGACUAGAACAGCUCUGGCAAGACUUUUCAAGAUUGUGUUCACAAACUACACCUUCAAGCUGCCUCGUUACCUGUGAAGAUUAAAUUUAACUCUCCCCUGAUUGUAAAGGUUAAAUUAACUGCCCAUUUUUAUAUCUAAUCACCAAAAGUAUAAACACCCCACUUAAUCAUUGAGUGGGGGAGGUCUGUGACCCACGUGUGCAAUAGUGGGUGAUGAAUCAGAAUCAACUGACUGCCCCCUGAGUAGUCCUAAGCAAAGCUUCAGCUGUGAUUGGUAGAAGUAAAAUUAGGAGAAGGCACUGGAAGUGACACGAAAGAAAGGGAAUUACAACUUCCUGAGUGGAGUUCAACUUCAACUUUGACUUCUUCUGGAGUUCUGAGUUCAAGUUGGAGGCUGCUGAAGAAUCUGCUGACUAGACCUGUGACCUUUCCUGAUGAGACUGUUCUUAAAUCUCUCCCUUUGGACUGACAUGUGGUGAGUGAAAAGAGCUGACUCCUUUCCUGGACUUUCUGAAGAGACUCACCGCAAGAGAGACCCUAAGGACUAAACUCCCUGCCUGUUUUUGAGCCAGGGGUUGGAACAAAAUACUUAGGGCUUAGGCUAUCUUACCCUAUCCUGUCUCUCAUUUUCUUACUUCACUCUUUCUGUAUUUUGUAAAUAAAUCUCUUUGGAAUUGAUUAAAUUCCUGGUGA
rnacentral:lncRNA from 1 species